CGGGAUGUAGCUCAGUUUGGUAGAGUACUGCGUUCGGGACGCAGGGGUCGCACGUUCAAGUCGUGUCAUCCCGACCA
rnacentral:tRNA from 2 species